rnacentral:rRNA from 1 species
UACGUAGGGCGCAAGCGUUGUCCGGAAUUAUUGGGCGUAAGGAGCUCGUAGGCGGUUUGUCGCGUCUGCUGUGAAAUCCCGAGGCUCAACCUCGGGCUUGCAGUGGGUACGGGCAGACUAGAGUGCGGUAGGGGAGACUGGAAUUCCUGGUGUAGCGGUGGAAUGCGCAGAUAUCAGGAGGAACACCGAUGGCGAAGGCAGGUCUCUGGGCCGCAACUGACGCUGAGGAGCGAAAGCAUGGGGAGCGAACAGG